UAAAAAAAAUCCUUUUUUAAAACGUUUCUGCUUCAUUUUUUUUCUUUUUGUUUAAAACAAUAAACAGAGGGGAAAGGGGAGGAUUUCUUUGCUAGGUUUUCCUUAAAGCCCUAGCCACCGUAGCCGUCAAAGCUCCGCCGCCGACUCCGAUUCAGGUACGUGCGUGUGUGGGAGUUGCUGCGACGUGGGGGUGAUGGUGGCGCCUGGACGAUUCGGCUGCUGACCUGCUACUAAUCUGUUAGGGUUUUUGGAACUUUAGGCCAAUUGGGCCCUGUAAUUGGGUUAGAAUUGACCCAAGUUUAUUGGUUUAAUUUAGGCUUGAGUUAAUGAAAUUGGGCCAUGUUGGGCCGACUGUAUUUAGUUUAUUAGGCUGUGCAAAUGGUUUUGGGCCCCGGGCAAUAAUUGGGUAUUACAGCUUAUUAGUAGGAUUUACGGUUUUAUUCGCUUAAAUUGAAACUUGGACAAACGUUAUUAUCAAUUUGAAUAAAUCCAUCUCAACUAUUCUUGUGAUUAUAAAAUAA